GUGUGUGAAGAAGGCCUGAGGGUUGUAAAGCACUAUCAGUGGGGAGGAGUGUUUGUAGGUUAAGAGCUAGCAAAUUGGACGUUACCCACAGAAGAAGCACCGGCUAACUCCGUGCCAGCAGCCGCGGUAAUACGGAGGUGCAAGCGUUAAUCGGAAUUACUGGGCGUAAAGGGUUCGUAGGUGGUUGUAUAAGUUAUCUGUAAAAGCCCUGGGCUCAACCUGGGAAGGCCAGAUAAAACUGUAUAACUCGAGUAUAGGAGAGGGUAGUGGAAUUUCCGGUGUAGCGGUGAAAUGCGUAGAGAUCGGAAGGAACACCAGUGGCGAAGGCGGCUACCUGGCCAGAUACUGACACUGAGGAACGAAAGCGUGGGGAGCAAACAGGAUUAGAUACCCUGGUAGUCCACGCCGUAAACGAUGUCAACUAGCUGUUGGUCAUAUGAAAAUGAUUAGUGGCGAAGCUAACGCGAUAAGUUGACCGCC
rnacentral:rRNA from 1 species